rnacentral:rRNA from 1 species
AUUGAACGCUGGCGGCAUGCUUUACACAUGCAAGUCGAACGGCAGCGCGGGCUUCGGCCUGGCGGCGAGUGGCGAACGGGUGAGUAAUACAUCGGAACGUGCCCAGUAGUGGGGGAUAGCUCGGCGAAAGCCGGAUUAAUACCGAAUACGACCUGAGGGUGAAAGCGGGGGAUCUUCGGACCUCGCGCUAUUGGAGCGGCCGAUGGCAGAUUAGCUAGUUGGUGGGGUAAAGGCCUACCAAGGCGACGAUCUGUAGCUGGUCUGAGAGGACGACCAGCCACACUGGGACUGAGACACGGCCCAGACUCCUACGGGAGGCAGCAGUGGGGAAUUUUGGACAAUGGGCGAAAGCCUGAUCCAGCAAUGCCGCGUGUGUGAUGAAGGCCUUCGGGUUGUAAAGCACUUUUGGCGGGAACGAAAAGGACUGUGCCAAUACCACGGUUCGAUGGCGGUACCCGCAGAAUAAGCACCGGCUAACUACGUG